rnacentral:lncRNA from 1 species
AAUUAUGUAUGGUUCCGUGUUUUUGUUUUCCUUCAUUUCUUAUUCUCUUUAAACAAAGUUCAUGUCAUUAUUUAUUUAUUAUGGUUGUUUUCCUUUAUUUUCAGACAUGAAGAAAACGUUAUCUCAUGAUCUUGAAAAAAAGUUCAUUAUCACUCUUAAAUAUCUUGUAACUCCUAAUACAAAUAUAUCGAUUGUGUAUUGGAAGUUAUAUUUUG